rnacentral:rRNA from 1 species
CGAUUGUAGUCAUAUGCUUGUCUCAAAGAUUAAGCCAUGCAUGUCUAAGCACAAACCUUUACACGGUGAAGCUGCGAAUGGCUCAUUAGGCCACCCAUGAUUUCUUAGAUCGUACAAUCCUACUUGGAUAACUGCGGUAAUUCUGGAGCUAAUACAUGCCACAAAGCUCCGACCCCUAUGGGAAAGAGCGCGUUUAUUAGGUCAAAACCAAUCGGGUCCUCGCGGCCCGUAACUCUGAUGACUCUGGAUAACUUCGAGCUGAUCGCAUGGCCUCGUGCCGGCGACGUAUCUUUCAAGUGUGUGCCCUAUCAACUUUCGAUGGUACGUGAUAUGCCUACCAUGGUAGUAACGGGUAACGGGGAAUCAGGGUUCGAUUCCGGAGAGGGAGCGUGAGAAACGGCUACCACAUCCAAGGAAGGCAGCAGGCGCGCAAAUUACCCAAUCCCGACACGGGGAGGUAGUGACGAAAAAUAACAAUACGGGACUCUUUUGAGGCCCCGUAAUUGGAAUGAGUACACUUUAAAUCCUUUAACGAGGAUCAAUUGGAGGGCAAGUCUGGUA